rnacentral:lncRNA from 1 species
GUUUCUGUUUAUUUUGCAUAUUAAGCAUCGAACCUACUCGUACACAUUUUUGAUUAAAGUAUUGUGCACUUGUAAAAAGUUGUGUCAAGUUUGACUGUAUGCGACACUCUUUUCUGGAAACUGCAAAUGGCUGACAGGGUUAACACUGACGCUCAAUACCGCCGCUUUCCCUGCUCCGACGCGUUGAAGAGCUGUGUUUUUUGCCGGACCGUUUUCUUGAUUGGUACAAAUACUUGCUGUAGUGAAUAGCACUCAUGCUAUGUGACUGAGGCAUUAAUCUGUUUUCAUCAAUCUCAAGGCAGGCUGUCAGGGCAUCCGAUUCAUAAACCAGCAAUUUUUGGGGACCACGUUUUGCUUCGACGACGGCAGGGCCCGUGGCUGAAACGGGGUACCACAACAAUGAAUACUGGUUGCACUUGGAGCUGUCGUGGCGUGAGCACACUUGAGGGUCAGGAUAUUGCAUGUGAGGCAGACAGUUCAGGACGAGAGAUGGCUAUUGUCACUGACACUCUACCACGUUUCUGCAGGUCAUGCGACUGCUUCCGAUGCUUCCGUCUGCGAUAGCUACCGCAAAACACAUGGCUACAGCGGAUUUUACGGUGAAGACAUAUACAAGUGCGUGUUCCUCUAGACAAGAAACACUGGACGGGAGAUAAUGGCGAUAUAAAGUGGCCGCCGAUACAAA